rnacentral:rRNA from 1 species
GACGAAUGCUGGCUGCGUGCUUAACACAUGCAAGUCGAACGGUGAAGGAGGGCUUGCCCUCCGGAACAGUGGCGAACGGGUGAGUAACACGUGGGCAACCUGCCCCUCACUCUGGGAUAACGCCGGGAAACCGGCGCUAAUACCGGAUACGACCAGGCGCGACAUCUCGCCGGGUGGAAAGAAUCUCGGUGGGGGAUGGGCCCGCGGCCUAUCAGCUAGUUGGGGGGGUAACGGCCCACCAAGGCGACGACGGGUAGCGGGCCUGAGAGGGCGACCGGCCACACUGGGACUGAGACACGGUCCAGACUCCUACGGGAGGCAGCAGUGGGGAAUUUUCCACAAUGGGCGAAAGCCUGAUGGAGCAACGCCGCGUGUGUGAUGAAGGUUUUCGGAUCGUAAAGCACUUUCGACUGGGACGAAAAACCUUUGGCUAACAUCCAGGGGCCUGACGGUACCAGGAGAAGAAGCACCGGCUAACUCUGUGCCAGCCGCCGCCGUAAGAC